CUGUCAAUGAUACCGGACCAAGCAAGGCUUGGGAGGAUAAGCAAUUGACAGCUU
rnacentral:sRNA from 1 species